CUCCCAUUUAAAAUGCCAUUUGACCCGAAAACGAUAAUACGGUUGUAUUGCAAACAAAGGAAUCUAAGGUAAUCAAAUGCAGAAAACAGGGUGGUUGCACUCAUAUCGGUGCCAAGGUGCACAACGCUUUAAAGGGGUCAUAGAAUGCAAAACCGAGUUUACUUUGUCAUAGAUGAGUAGUGAUAGUUCAGUGGGUGAAAUGGACAUACAGAGAACUUCAAAACCCCACCGACACCUCCUUCCUAUGCAAAUCUCACAAUUCGAAACUCCCGCCAUAAAACGGGCGAAUCCAAACGAAGCUGCAAAGUUUACGCAAACUCGCAGGUGGCACCUUAUUUGGCUCUGGCCUGUACAUUUGUCACGCCUCAAAAUUUACAUACAGACCAGCCCACUGGUGCUCUGAGCCCAGGAACGUGAAUGGAGAGCGAAGAUGAGACAAACACUAGUUUAGCUGCCUGCUCGUUUACUUCCACAGGAAUUAUAAAGCAGACAGUUCUUCAAGGAUAUCGAAAAUGAGCCACUGUCACUGGCUGAAACUUAGGCUAGCUGCUACAAAGAAAGCUGAGACUUUCCAUAGUCUUCUCAAGGAUUCAAAAGUUCGAGGGGCAUUGAUAAUGUUUUUCUACCAGAAGAUCCCUGCGAAGUUCGACACUCCGUUAUUAAUUUGCAAAACAUUUCACUGAAGGCAGUCAACCUUGUACAGUUAAGCAGGAUUUGCUAAGCUGCUGUUACUGAAACGAGGGGUCGUUCCGACCGUAAGGUCAUCACAACCGCAUGCUGUUUUAUCUAGCAGCCAUGCACUUCAAUGAGAAUGCUGAGUCCCCACAACAGAAGACAGCCAAGGAGAAACUAUGUACAGACUUGCCAAACAAUUUAUCAUCAAAGACCCUCUUCCUUAUUGGGAUGCCGUCCAGCGGAUUCCUGUGCCCCAGGACUUGUGUGCUCAGCUUGACAGACCAUCCAUGGAGGAUGCUGUUGCUGAACAUGUGUCACGGUUCAGUCGAAAAGGGGUCUGAAUCCAACGUACUGCCCUGAAGUAUCCGGAAGCUCCCUCCAUAUGCGUAGCACCACAAACAAGGGGAUCAUGACACGGACGCUUCUUCUAAGGAAACCCCAGCUCCUGCUCACAAGACCUGUAGGCCAAGUCACUUCAUUGCCUGCAACGAGAACAGGGUGGAAAAGCUAAACAUUUUUACUAUUUAUUUUUUAAUAUUUUAUAUCAGAGUAUCACUGGACGAUUAUUGGAAAAAAAAAAAAAAAAGUUUAUCAUUUUGUGGUGUUGAUCAAACUGUGUUUUUGCAAUAUGCUGAACCAAUAAUGAAUGUGUAUUGGUUAAAAAUAUUUUAUUUAUAUAUUGUAACUGCUAACACUUGUAUCAGAUUGUCCUCACCUUUCCAUUCCUCUGAUUCUCAAACGGCCAUGGUCAGCUCUGUAAAUAUUCAUUGCAUUUUGCAAAGAAUAUAGAGGCACAACAGAUUGAGGCCAUGAUGGUCAUUCAGGUCAGCUCCUCAGGAACCUGGGUCAUCCUUUUAAUAACCUGUAAAAACAAACAAUUUCCCUGCUGUUAUUUCGUAAUUUUGAAUGAGCAGGUAGCACAAAGUAGCAAAUGUCUCCAGUUUUAGUUACCAGAGUUGUAAGAUAACAUAUUAGGCUACUACAUGGAAAGAAGGUAAUAAUCUCAAUCAGAUGUCAGCAGGAUAGUUACAAGAUUACAUGUACCUACUGUAUUUUAAACAGUGAUAUUUAUAGGAUUUUUGAUUAUUGUACUCUACUCCAUUUUAGCCUACUAUGUAAAUUGCCCCUUGGGGAUAAAUAAGUGUUUUUGAAUUGACACAAAUUGGCCAAGUAAUAUUUUCGUUGACCUCGUUUCACUUCAGCCAUAGGCUACAAACUGCACAGAGCUCCUGCCCAGCUAACUGGACGUCCCGUUGUAAGAUCAUACAUUACUACAUGGAAAGAACGUAAAAAUCUCGAUAAUCAGAUGACUUAAUCAGCAGGAUAGUAGUUACACGAGUACAUUAGACCUACUGACACAAACGUAAUAUUUUCAUUGAGGCGAGCAGUGGGCUACUCGUUUCACUUCAGCCAUAACAUUAUAGCCUACGAACUGCACAGAGCUCCUGCCCAGCUAACUGGACGUCCUGUUGUAAGAUCGCAUAUUACCACUACAAUAAUGUAUGUAACUCCUAAUCAGAUGACCUAUUCACCAGGAGAAUAUGACUAAAACGAGUACUUUCCUUGCAAGCAGCACUCCUUUCACUACAGCAUAGCCUGAACUGCCCACGACGGGCUGCAAACUUUUCAGCUAGCUUCUAACUGGACAUCUUGACAAAAAUUGCACAAGGGUACAAGUUGUAAAACAUUUGUUUGUGUGCAAAUUAAUAACUUCUGUUGCUUACAAUGCUAAAAACGAACCUAAUACAAUGUUUAGCUUAGUCUACGACACUAACGUGCGAGUAUUACAGCUAUCGAUAGCUAACUGGGCUACGUGUGGCAAACUCAAGUAAAUGACAAAACUUACCACUCUGAAGUAGUCAUUUCCAAUCUGUGGGCGACUGGUUACUCCUCUAUUUCAGAUUCUUCCUCUGAUUCAGGCUCAAAUAUGCUGUUCAACACCUAUGUCUCCAUAGUAUUUCCACCUUGGCUGUUUCAGUGAGUGCUGUCGGCCAUGUUUGUGUCUUUGCUCCGGAGCUUCGCUCGUUGUAAACCAACCAAUCAGCACGCAGGUUAUCUAAAUAUUCAUGAGCAUACCAUAAAAGGAAGAAAACCUCUCGUUUCAUUCUAGGGCUUUUAACCAGGCUUGCAUUAGGGCGCAUAGAACAGCACAUAUGCCAUUUUCAGCCCAACCAAUGUUACACACCCUAAUCAGAGACCUUAAGGACCAGCACAAAAUACCCUAUAUCAUCAUUCUAUCACCCCUUUAAGGAAAGACUACCUGGCCAGGUCUACCCAUACCAGGAUGGCAAACAGAUGGUGUCAAUACCAAUUUGACCCAUAAAAAGUAAAUGUCAAAUAGGUACAGAUAAUCUGUAUUAAUCUCAUCAUUGCCAAUGGAUUUCUGUGUAAAAUAUUGUUUAUCUUGUCCAUCUUCUUUCUGUUCAUAGACAACAGAGACAAAUUCUAUAAUACCAAGGUCAAUGCAUUUGACUGCUAUCCAGCCCCGGGUUGCCACCGAAAACUUUAUGCAUCUUGGACUGAAAGAUGGUGUGCUAGUAAGGAAGCUAGCUACCACCGCUUUUGCCACCACAUCUCAGUGUUGGGAGGGAAGUUCACUCACUGCACAACUCUACCAGCUGUACCUUUCCUAGAUAGAUAGAUAGAUAGAUACUUUAUUGAUCCCCAGGGGAAAUUCAAGAAUUUCCUCCUCAGCCAUGAUCCGUAAGCACCAUGGUUUUCUUUCUGGGCCAGGAGACUUUGCAAACAAAUAAGCAAUAAAUGAUCAUGCAUUACAAAUUUAGCCAUGUUAGACUGUUAAGUUGUUGGCUUGUAGGCUGGGUGUCCAGUAAACAAUUUCAAGCUUAGAGGGCAAAUUCUCUCACCUAGGAGGGUAAAAACAUUUGUUUUUCAUGAAAUCUGCAUUUUGAAUUGAUGAUCUACCAAUGAGGCUGUAGAGUAUCGCGACACAAUAGUGGCAAAAACCACUUGCACGAUAAAACAUGCAUUCGGGUGUAUUAUAUUAUAUAUUAUUUCACACACGUAGAUAUUAAAUGCUUGCGCACAAAUUCUCUCUGUGCGUGCGCACUCAGAGGAAACUGCUCCCCGAGCAUGGAAGAAAAUGCUGCGAGCGAGGAGGAAUCUGACCAGCGCUCCAAACAGCCACUCGAAAAAUCUAUGCAUGUGAAAUAAUAUAAUACGCCCAAAUGCAUGUUUUAUCGCGUUACCACAUCCAACUUGAAAAGAUAUGCUCAAGAGAUCCAUAACUUUCAGAAAAAUGUUUUACUGUUGUUAUGGAUGAAUAUUAUGUUUUGCUUUCAUUCAUGUCAAUAAAAUGUUUUUCUCAUAA